UGAGGAAUAUUGCACAAUGGGCGAAAGCCUAAUACAGCAACGCCGCGUGAGGGACGAAGGCCUUCGGGUCGUAAACCUCUUUUCUGGGGGACGAGUAAGGACGGUACUCCAGGAAUAAGUCUCGGCUAACUACGUGCCAGCAGCCGCGGUAGAACGUAGGAGGCGAGCGUUAUCCGGAUUUACUGGGCGUAAAGCGUACGCAGGUGGCUUCGUUAGUCGGACAUGAAAGCUCCUGGCUUAACUGGGAGAGGUUGUUCGAUACUGCGGGGCUUGAGGUUGGGAGAGGGACGUGGAAUUCCCGGUGUAGUGGUGGAAUGCGUAGAUAUCGGGAGGAACACCAGUGGCGCAAGCGGCGUCCUGGCCCACACCUGACGCUGAGGUACGAAAGCGUGGGUAGCAAACAG
rnacentral:rRNA from 1 species